rnacentral:rRNA from 1 species
CCUACGGGUGGCAGCAGUGAGGAAUAUUGGUCAAUGGACGAGAGUCUGAACCAGCCAAGUAGCGUGAAGGAUGACUGCCCUAUGGGUUGUAAACUUCUUUUAUAUGGGAAUAAAACAGGGUAUGCAUACCCUCUUGAAUGUACCAUAUGAAUAAGGAUCGGCUAACUCCGUGCCAGCAGCCGCGGUAAUACGGAGGAUCCGAGCGUUAUCCGGAUUUAUUGGGUUUAAAGGGAGCGUAGGUGGAUUGUUAAGUCAGUUGUGAAAGUUUGCGGCUCAACCGUAAAAUUGCAGUUGAAACUGGCAGUGUUGAGUACAGUAGAGGUGGGCGGAAUUCGUGGUGUAGCGGUGAAAUGCUUAGAUAUCACGAAGAACUCCGAUUGCGAAGGCAGCUCACUGGACUGCAACUGACACUGAUGCUCGAAAGUGUGGGUAUCAAACAGGAUUAGAUACCCGGGUAGUC